rnacentral:rRNA from 1 species
GAUGAACGCUGGCGGCGUGCCUAAUACAUGCAAGUCGAGCGAACGGACGAGAAGCUUGCUUCUCUGAUGUUAGCGGCGGACGGGUGGGUAACACGUGGAUAACCUACCUAUAAGACUGGGAUAACUUCGGGAAACCGUAGCUAAUACCGGAUAAUAUUUUGAACCGCAUGGUUCAAAAGUGAAAGACGGUCUUGCUGUCACUUAUAGAUGGAUCCGCGCUGCAUUAGCUAGUUGGUAAGGUAACGGCUUACCAAGGCAACGAUGCAUAGCCGACCUGAGAGGGUGAUCGGCCACACUGGAACUGAGACACGGUCCAGACUCCUACGGGAGGCAGCAGUAGGGAAUCUUCCGCAAUGGGCGAAAGCCUGACGGAGCAACGACGCGUGAGUGAUGAAGGUCUUCGGAUCGUAAAACUCUGUUAUUAGGGAAGAACAUAUGUGUAAGUAACUGUGCACAUCUUGACGGUACCUAAUCAGAAAGCCACGGCUAACUACGU